AGCUCCUCCUCGAUCUGUGAGCUGCAGUCAGGGGCACUUGGGUCAGGGACUAGUGGGUCUGGGAGGAGUCGAGUCUGAGAACGAAGGAGAGGAACGAGAGAAGAAUCAUGCGGUUCGUUCUUGUUAAAGAUUCAUUCAUUCGAACUGAUUCGGUUGCGAACGACCCAUCACUGAUGUAACCGAUUGUGUGGAUAUCGACAGCAGUCGAAGGACGACACCGCUACACAGGACUCAACGUCUGAACAUCUGGAUCAGUACCAACUCUCCUCGGCGAAGCUACAAACCUCGGACAAGCCAGCACAUCAAGUGCCAACAUUCAGCUUCUCUCAAGGGAUGUUGCCUGCAAGACAGACCACCUGGGAACAUGCUGUAGGCACACAGACUUUGCGGCCCAACUUUAAAAGUGAAGAAGACUGCGAUGCCUUUGGAGACCGUAGCACGCAGUGCGGCGCCACCUCAGAGAGUCUGGGUGUGGACGCCCCUGGCUCCUCCCACCUGGCCAGUCACAGGGAGGAACUGAAGAUUUUUAUUGUCCACGGAAAAGGGGAGCGCCCACUGGCGGAGGACGGCCAUGACACCCUCUUCACCGCGUCUGAAGUGGAGGCCCUGAACUCGCUGUCUGCGGACCACAGCGCGGCCAAGAGCCUGGAGCGCGGCGAGCGGCUGGUCUGCCACGAGGAGCUGAGUGUGCAGGUUGGAAAUCAUCUUCUUAUUCACCCUCCAAAAGAGAGGCUUCCUCUGUUUCAACUCCAGCACACACCCUUAGAAAUAAAACGCAUUUAUGAUUCAAUGUGUCGUAAGUGCGGGAUUAACAACUAUUCUGUGCAAAUGAAAGAAUACGUCUUGUGUGUGUUUCCUUCUUUAUGUGGAAAGCAGCAGACCCCAGACAACAUUUCAAUCAAGGUUGAAGAGGAUAUUGGUGGAGGCUGGCCCGCCGUAGAAGACUGCGAUGCCUUUGGAGACCGCAGCUCGCAGCGCGGCGCUACCUCGGAGAGUCUGGGUGUGGACGCCCCUGGCUCCUCCCUCAGGUCCAGUCACAGCGAGGAGCUGAAGUUCCUGAGCGUCGACGUAAAAAGGGAGGGCCCUUUGGCGACGGACGGCUAUGACACCCUCUUCACAGCGUCAGAAGUGGAGGCCCUGAACUCGCUGUCCGCUGACCACAGCGUGUCCAAGAGCCUGAACUGCAGCGUGCGGCUCGCCAACCUUGAGGAGCUGACUGGGCAUCGGGGCGGCCGCAAGGGCCGGCCCGGUGUCUUGUGUGGCAAGGUUAUUCCCAACAAUGCCAAUAUGAUCGUCCACAUGAGGACCCACAACGACGAGAAGCCGUACAGGUGCGACCAAUGCAUGAAGCGCUUCCAACGGCAAUGCCUCCUGAAGCGCCACAUGAUGACUCACUUCGCGGAGAAGCCCUACAAGUGUCAUCAAUGCACAAAGCGCUUCAGUUGGAUAAGCUACCUGAAGCGCCACAUGAUGACUCACUCCGAGGAGAAGCCCUACAUGUGUGACCAAUGCGCGAAACGCUUCAGCCUGAAAGGCGUCCUGAAGAUCCACAUAAGGAGGGCUCACUCUGGGAAGAAGCCCUACAGGUGUGACCUAUGCACAAAGCACUUCGAACAGCAAUGGGACCUGAAGUGCCACAUUAGGACUCAUUUCGGCGAGAAGCCCUACCAGUGUGACAACUGCACGAAGCGCUUCAGUCGGAAAAUCAACCUGAUGCGUGGUCAGGGUCAGCAAAUAUUGGCCAAGUUACAGUGUAUUUCAGAGGGGGAUUCUGAUGGAGAAGCAGAGGAACUGGCAUGCGAGCUAGAGAGUGAUGAUGAGAGAGCGGAUGAUGGAAGUGGCGCUGUUAAAGAAUCUGAUUCAGGUUCAGAAUCAGAACCUGAGGCGACCACAUCAAUGGAAGAGACAUCACCAUCCAUGCAAGAGAAAGCACGAGAUGGUACCAUAUGGAUUGAACAACCCCCUGGCCUUUCGAGAGGCAGAGCAACAGAAGCCAAUGUCAUGAGAGAACCUCCAGGGCCCACACCUCGCGCCAAGGAAAAUAUCACAGAUCCACUGAGCAGUUUACUGUGUUUGCUUGACACGGAAAUGUGGGAACAGAUUCUAAAGUAUACUCAGGCCGAAGCUGACCGAAACAAUGCUUAUAUGUUCAAUGCGACAAUGGACCAACUAAAAGCAUUUGUGGGUCUCGUUUAUUUGAGGGGUAUUGCCGGCGGGAAAAACCUGAAACUGGAGGACUUCUGGUCUGCUGAAAUGGGAAAUCCUGUUUUCAAGGAAACAAUGCCUCGCCAGAAUUUCAGAGAUAUCAUGCGCUAUCUGCGCUUUGAUGACAAGAGCACAAGGGCUGCCCGCCUUCUGGAGGAUAAAUUUGCCAUGAUAUCAGAGACAUUUGAUCGAUUUGUGAAAAACAGCACUGCUUCUUACACGCCUGGGGAGAACAUAACAGUUGGUGAACAAUUGUUCCCCACCAAGGCGCGCUGUCGUUUCACACAGUACAUGGCAAAUAAACCGGAUAAAUUUGGCAUAAAAUUCUGGGUAGCCGCUGAUGUUGAAACCAAAUACAUGUUGAAUGCCCGUCCCUAUCUAGGGAAAGACAACAGUAGGCCAUCUGGACAGCGCUUAUCAGACAAUGUUGUGCUUCGUCUGAUGGAGCCAUUCCUGGAGAAAGGAAGAAAUGUAACGACAUAUGAUUACUUUACCUCGUUACCGCUGGCAAACACUCUUUUGGCGCACAAAACCACCAUUGUUGGCCCAAUGAAUAGAAUCAGACGAGAGAUGCCCCCGUGUACAAAGGCACAGAUGGAAAGAUUCUCCUCCAAGGUGCUGAGGGCUGGGGAAGCCACACUCACCAUUUACCAGGGAAAACCACGCAAAAACGUCAUCCUCCUCAGCACAAUGCACCAGACAGUUUCAACUGACAAUGGCCCCAAGAAAAUGCCCGAAACUGUUGCCCACUACAACAGCACUAAAUAUGUUGUUGAUGUUAUGGACCAGAUGGCACGCUUGUAUUCAGUAAAGGGAGGGACCAGGCGUUGGCCUGUAGCUGUGUUCUACAACAUCCUAGACCUGGCUGCAAUCAAUGCACACAUUCUGUACAAACAGUGCAUGGGCGUCCACAUGACCAGAAAGAGAUUUAUUCUGGAGCUUGUGAAACAGCUGUGUGCGCCUCAGAGAAUGGCCAGGACUGCAUCAUUAGUGGCAGCAUCAGUGGCACGUAGGCGACUUCUGAUUGAAACUCCUUCCCCACCUACCAAAAGGAAAAAGUGUCAAGUCGGCAGAUGUAGUGGGAACAAAACUAGUGACGUCUGUGAGUCAUGUAGGCGACUUGUCUGUGGGAAAUGCACUGAGCCUUCUAAGAUUAUCUGCUGUGAAUGUUGAUUAGACUUUGCUGAAACCGAAAGAUAAAAAAAAGACUGCUGUCCCGAAAGACAUUUAUUUUUCAUCCAGUUCCUAGUUCAUUCAAAGUCAGCCGCAUCUUUUUUUUUUCUUUUUUUACUGACUUACUGAAUGUGAAUGUACUCUAUACUCUAAUAUACUCACUAUUUAUUAGAGUACAAAAUAAAUCUUGGUUACAAAAUAAAUCUUGAUGAAAUCUGAUUUCGUCAAGAUUUAUUUUGUAACCACCACUUGUAAAAAAAUAAAUAAUAAUUAUAGAAAAUUAAUAAUUCACCGUUGCUAAGUCUUUGGCGGACUAUUUCUCUGCUGAUCAACACUACGAGUGCUGGUAACAAAUAAAUUGUUAAAAGACACUCCAUGUGAAGUUAUAAGCGGGAUAAUGCAUAGAAUGUCGCCGGUCAUUAUCGAAAAUAAGCCCCUUCAGGGCGAGGCAAGACACCUUCGCUGCUCGUCGGUGUCCUGUUUGCCCUGUCGGGGCUCAGUUUCCCGAUAAUGACCGGCGUUCUAUACAUUAUCAAUUACUUAUUACACGGCUCUUCUCAAUGCUGUAGACUGCUCCAUUCAGCAUGGGCCUUCCUAACAUUCAGCUGUCAAUCAUUUUUGUUUAUUACAUAGCUCUUCUCAAUGCAGUGUUUAACUGCCACAAAUAUUAUUUAUGUCAUUGUUUAUUGGUUUGUUACAAAAUUUAUUUUUGUACUGUUUAUUUUCAUGGAUAAUUAUUUUAUUUGUGUAAGAAUAAGUUAAGAACUUAUUUUUAACCUGUGUUGCAAGCGGGACGAAUUUGACUGUAACACGUCACUCGGGAAGUAAAGGGUGAACAAGACGGUUGUGAAGUAGGAGAAGUGUGGAAGCCUCCCAAAAUAAGUUUAAACCUUAAGUUUUUGCAGAGACAUUUACUGUUGAAUCGAUUUUUUUUUUUUAUUAAGUAUGACAUUUGUGGACCUUUUUACUUUUGAUUUGCAAGAUUGGAUUCAUUCCCUCGGUUGUGUGCAGCCAGCGAGGCCAGCGCAUCAAGUGCUUCCAUUCAGCAGCUUCUCCCAAGGGAUGUUGCCUGCCAGACAGACCACCUGGAAACGUGCUGUAGGCACACAACUAUCCUUAAAGACUUUGCACUUUACAUGUGAAGAAUACUGCGAUGCCUUUGGAGACCGUAGCACGCAGCGCGGCGCCACCUCGGAGAGUCUGGGUGUGGACGCCCCUGGCUCCUCUCACAUGGCCAGUCACAGGGAGGAACUGAAGAUCCUGAUCGUCCAUGAAAAAGGGGAGGGUCAACUGGCGUUGGACGGCCAUGACACCCACUUCAUCGCGUCAGAAGUGGAGGCCCUGAACUCGCUGUCUGCGGACCAGAGCGUGGCCAAGAGCCUGGAGCGCGGCGAGCGACUGGUCUGCCGCGAGGAGCUGAGUGUUCAG